rnacentral:rRNA from 1 species
ACUCAAAUGAAUUGACGGGGACCCGCACAAGCAGUGGAGCAUGUGGUUCAAUUCGACGCAACGCGAAGAACCUUAUCCUGGUCUUGACAUCCUUUGACCGCCGAUGAAAGUCGGUUUUCACCUUCGGGUGACAAAGAGACAGGUGCUGCAUGGCUGUCGUCAGCUCGUGUCGUGAGAUGUUGGGUUAAGUCCCGUAACGAGCGCAACCCACGCCUCUUGUUGCCAUCAUUAAGUUGGGCACUCUAGAGGGACUGCUAGCGUUAAGCUGGAGGAAGGUGUGGAUGACGUCAAGUCCUCAUGGCCCUUAUGAUCAGGGCUACACACGUGCUACAAUGCAGAGUACAAAGGGCUGCGAAAUGGUGACAUGAAGCUAAUCCCAAAAAACUCUGCUCAGUUCGGAUUGAAGUCUGCAACUCGACUUCAUGAAGCUGGAAUUGCUAGUAAUCACAGAUCAGCAUGCUGUGGUGAAUACGUUCCCGGGUCUUGUACACACCGCCCGU